AGAACGAACGCUGGCGGCAGGCUUAACACAUGCAAGUCGAACGCCCCGCAAGGGGAGUGGCAGACGGGUGAGUAACACGUGGGAACAUGCCCAAAGGUACGGAACAACUCCGGGAAACUGGAGCUAAUACCGUAUGUGCCCGAAAGGGGAAAGAUUUAUCGCCUUUGGAUUGGCCCGCGUCGGAUUAGCUAGUUGGUGGGGUAAAAGCCUACCAAGGCGACGAUCCGUAGCUGGUCUGAGAGGACGACCAGCCACACUGGGACUGAGACACGGCCCAGACUCCUACGGGAGGCAGCAGUGGGGAAUCUUGGACAAUGGGCGCAAGCCUGAUCCAGCCAUGCCGCGUGGAUGAUGAAGGCCCUAGGGUUGUAAACCGCUUUCAGUAGGGAAGAAAAUGACGGUACCUACAGAAGAAGGUGCGGCCAACUACGUGCCAGCAGCCGC
rnacentral:rRNA from 1 species